rnacentral:rRNA from 1 species
UACGUAGGUGGCAAGCGUUGUCCGGAAUUAUUGGGCGUAAAGCGCGCGCAGGUGGUUUCUUAAGUCUGAUGUGAAAGCCCACGGCUCAACCGUGGAGGGUCAUUGGAAACUGGAGAACUUGAGUGCAGGAGAGAAGAGUGGAAUUCCACGUGUAGCGGUGAAAUGCGUAGAGAUGUGGAGGAACACCAGUGGCGAAGGCGACUCUUUGGCCUGUAACUGACACUGAGGCGCGAAAGCGUGGGGAGCAAACAGG